CUCUGUCUCGGCGACGACUGUGCUACCGCCGCCGCCGCCGCAAGACUUCGUCGGGCACUUUGCCGGCGACGAUUUCCCACCAGGAUCAGAGGAGGUGAUGGCGAGGAGUGACAGCUGCCUGGCGCGCGUGGGUGCCGGAAUUGCUAUCGGUGGCGCGGUCGGCGGAGCCGUCGGUAACCUUCGUCCCUAAACCCCUAAACACUAGGCUUGCAGCAUCAAUCCGUCCGUGCGAGCCGCUUCACCCGUCGGUGUUUUUUUUUUUGGUUGGAAGUAGAUUAGUGUGCGAUUUCAGGAAUCUUCUCGAGCUAGCUAGUAGCUACAUCCCUGGUUUGUGUGGUUAGCUAGCGGCAGAUGUAAUAACUAGGUGGCUUUUGUUAAGAGUUACUAGUGCUUAGGUAGCAUCAUCUGGAGGUGGAAGAUAUCGAUGCUCGAGUUGGAGUUUGUUUGCCCCCAAUUGCUUGUGCUCUAAGGGCUGUUGCUGAUUCGGUCUGCCGUGGUUUGGUUAACUUCCUGCUGGUGCUUAGAACUUGGGAUGGAAAAUGUAAGAUUUUGUAUUUGCCUUUGAUUUGACUGAAUGAAUGACUUCUAAUGUCAAAGGCUUGUUCAAUGCCACUUUGGAAUGUACCGAUUAGUAUAUUCCUGAUUUGGAUUCCAUUGUAGCGUCAAGAUGACAGCAUUU
rnacentral:lncRNA from 7 species